UACGGGAGGCAGCGGGGGAAUAUUGCACAAUGGGCGCAAGCCUGAUGCAGCCAUGCCGCGUGUAUGAAGAAGGCCUUCGGGUUGUAAAGUACUUUCAGUCGUGAGGAAGGUGUUAAGGUUAAUAACCUUAGCAAUUGACGUUAGCGACAGAAGAAGCACCGGCUAACUCCGUGCCAGCAGCCGCGGUAAUACGGAGGGUGCGAGCGUUAAUCGGAAUUACUGGGCGUAAAGGGCACGCAGGCGGUUAAUUAAGUUGGAUGUGAAAUCCCCGGGCUUAACCUGGGAAUGGCAUUCAAGACUGGUUAGCUAGAGUCUUGUAGAGGGGGUAGAAUUCCAUGUGUAGCGGUGAAAUGCGUAGAGAUGUGGAGGAAUACCGGUGGCGAAGGCGGCCCCUGGACAAAGACUGACGCUCAUGUGCGAAAGCGUGGGGAGCAAACAGGGAUUAGAUACC
rnacentral:rRNA from 1 species